CCCACAGAUAAAGGGUCAAGAAAAACCAGGAAAAGAAGAAGAGAGUGCUGGAAGGAUCUAUAAACAAUAGAGAAAGAGACAGAUUUAGAGAGAUUGGCUGGAUUUACCGUGUAUGAGUUGGACUGUUUUGGACUUACCUGUUGGCGUUUGGACCUGGACCUACCGAGAACCCGAUUUGUGUACCGAACCCUGCUAUCCUUGACCUUGCCUACGGCCUGGGUGGACCAGGACGGAGAAACAACCACACAGGCUGGUGGUGGCUGGUCCAUUCCAGGAGUCUGAGGUGCGGGAGGUUCCUCCGCCCCCUCUGGAUCGAGGGGGCCACGGCGUAUGCAGUUCGAUCCAUACUGGAUUUGAGGCGUCGGGCGAGGGCCUUCAGUACCUCGUGGAGUGGGAGGGGUAUGGUCCGGAGAAGAUAUGCUGGGUGCCGGUGGAGGACGUGUGGACCCAUUGAUGCGGGUGCUGUGUUCAUCCUUCGCUGAUGCGAACACAAGCCGCUGAGUGGGACGGUCAUGGCUAGAAGAUUAAAGGUCAGAUUUGACCUUUCGAUCAAUUUCCUCCCAAAAAGUAUAUUAACUGCAUGACAUGGCGUUUCUCCUAUUUUGUUGCAUUACAACCUGUAAUUUAAAUAGAUUUUUGAUUUGGAUUGCAUGUAACGGAUAUACACAAAAUAAUCUAAAUUGCUGAAGUGAAAUGAAAAAAAAUAAUACAGAAGCUAUGAAGCCCCUAAAUAAGAUCUGGUGCAACCAAUUACCUUCAGAAGUCACAUAAUUAGUCCACACUUGUGGACUUUAUUGAAGUGUCACAUGAUCUCAGUAUAUAAACACCUGUUCUGAAAGGCCCAAGAGUCUGCAACACCACUAAGCAAGGACCACCACCAAGCAAGCAGAACCAUGAAGACCAAGGAGCUCUCCAAACAGGUCAGGGACAAAGUUGUGGAGAAGUACAGAUCAGAUUUGGGUUAUACAAAAUAUCUGAAACUUUGAACAUCCCACGGAGCACCAUUAAAUCCAUUAUUUAAAAAAUGGAAAGAAUAUGGUACCACAACAAACCUGCCAAGAGGGAACCGUCCACCAAAGACCAGGCAAGGAGGGCAUUAAUCAGAGAGGCAACUAAGAGACCAAAGAUAACCAUGAAGGAGCUGCAAAGCUCCACAGCCGGAGAUGGGAGUAUCUGUCCAUAGGACCACUUUAAGCCGUACACUCCACAGAGCUGGGCUUUACAGAAGAGUGACAGGAAAAGAAGCCAUUGCUUAAAGAAAGAAAUAAGCAAACACAUUUGGGGUUUGCCAAAAGGCAUGUGGGAGACUCCCCAAACAUAUGGAACAAGAUACUCUGGCCAGAUGAGACUAAAAUUGAGCUUUUUGGCCAUCAAGGAAAACGCUAUGUCUGGUGCAAACCCAACACCUCUCAUCACCCUGAGAACGGCAUCCCCACAGUGAAGCAUGGUGGUGGUGGCAGCAUCAUGCUGUGGGGAUGUUUUUCAUCGGCAGGGACUGGGAAACUGGUCAGGAAUGAUGGAUGGUACUAAAUACAGGGUAAUUAUUGAGGGAAACUUGUUUCAGUCUUCCAGAGAUUUGAGACUGGGAUGGAGGUUCACCUUCCAGCAGGACAAUGACCCUAAGCAUACUGCUAAAGCAACACUCGAGUGGUUUAAGGGGAAACAUUUAAAUGUCUUGGAAUGGUCUAGUCAAAGCCCAAACUUCAAUACAAUUGAGAAUCUGUGGUAUGACUUAGAUUGCUGUACACCAGUGGAACCCAUCCGACUUGAAGGAGCUGGAGCAGUUUUGCCUUGAAGAAUGGGCAAAAAUCCCAGUGGCUAGAUGUGCCAAGCAUAAAGAGACAUACCAUAAGAGACUUGCAGCUGUAAUUGCUGCAAACGGUAGCUCUACAAAGUAUUGACUUUGGGGGGGUGAAUAGUUAUGCAUGCUCAAGUUCUGUUUUUUUUUUGUCUUAUUUCUUGUUUGUUUCACAAUAAAAAAUAUUUUGCAUCUUCAAAGUGGUAGGCAUGUUGUGUAAAUCAAAUGAUACAAACCUUCCAAAAAUCGAUUUUAAUUCCAGGUUGUAAGGCAAAAUAUGAAAAAUGCCAAGUGGGUUGAAUUCUUUCGCAAGCCACUGUAGCUGUGCAGCGACACUCCCCAUCCAACCUGACAGAGCUUGAGAGGAUCUGCAGAGAAGAAUGAGAGAAACUCCCUAAAUACAGGCGUGCCAAGCUUGUAGUGUCAUACCCAAGAAGACUCGGGGCUGUAAUCACUGCCAAAGGUGCUUCAACAAAGUACUGACUAAAGGGUCUGAAAACUUGUGAAAUGUCCUUUUUUUAAAUUUGAUACAUUUGCAAACAUUUCUAAAAACCUGUUUUUGCUUUGUUAUAAUGGUGUAUUAUGUUUAGAUUGAUGAGGAUAAAAUAUUUUCAUUCAUUUUAGAAUAAGGCUGUAAUGUAACAAAAUGUGGAAAACGUCAAGGGGUCUGAAUACUUUCCGAAUUAACUUAAUGUUUCUCACUAAGUAAUGGGCAAGAUAUCUAUCAAACUAAAGAAAUAGCACGAUUCUGGAUUAAUCCCAUCUACUUAUGUUAUUUGAUGCUGGAAAUGAAUUCAUCUGGGCCAAAACACAAGGUGAGACAUAAUGUACAAUAGUGGUUAUUAACUUGUUGUCCAGCUGGGCUCAUAGUAUACUCACACGUCUAUGUAGUCUCCAUUUUCCCAGGAUGUACGUUUACAGUGCUGGUCCACACCAGGAAGGCUGCCACGCGCAACAUGGAGAAGGUUCAGGUCAUCAAGGAUUGUCCAUGAUAGUUGCAGAUAAGUAGGAAGGACACAUGCAGGAGCCCAAACUCAUACCCCUGAAGACCAUGACGUCAGUCAUUGUAAAAAUGCAGCUGUAUGUGGAGGAGAAGGCCCUGGAGGCUUCAGAAACCAAGCUUGAUGGCAAUCCUCUGCACUGCAGCUGCCACAGGAAUCCACUCGCAGAGGAAUUGAUUUGGAAAAUGCUUUAUGUAAAUGCCUUGUUAAUGUAAAUCCCUAUUUUUUUUGCCUUUCGUGAACUAACACUCGUACCUGACUCUUUUCCCCCUUACUAGCUCUGACUUUGCUGAUAGCUACUUUAUUGAAGAAAAAUGUACUUACUAUGGCCUAUGAUAUGUGGUUGUUCCACCUUGCUAUCUUAAGAUGAAUGCACUAACUGUAAGUCACUCUGGAUAAGAGUGUCUGCUAAAUGACUAAAAUGUAGAUGGUUUAUUAUUAUAAAGUGUUAACCAUG